rnacentral:pre_miRNA from 1 species
GUUCUCGGUGGUGCGGCAUCAUCAAGAUUCACAUACUUUUAACCGGAAGUUCAUGCCUAUGAAGUACUGGGAAUCUUGAUGAUGCUGCAUCAGCUAGUAC